rnacentral:misc_RNA from 1 species
GCACUACUGAUGGUGCAAACAGAGAGCAAUCCAGUGGUGAAUCAGAACCAAUUGACCACAAAGAGGGCUAUACUGAACUACUAUCUGGAUUAUCUGAUAGGGAAUAUAGCCAUUCUGGGAACGAGCAAGGAGACUCAAUUCCCGAAUGUGAAUCUGAUGGUGCCAAUUCCAACCUUCACAGGGUUAAAUUGGCCAGCAAAUCUG